AUUGAACGCUGGCGGAAUGUAUUAGGCAUGCAAGUCGUACGAACCUUCGGGUUAGUGGCGAACGGGUGAGUAACACGUGGGUAACCUGCCUCGUAGUGGGGAAUAACUCGCCGAAAGGCGAGCUAAUACCGCAUAACACCCCCGGUGAGAAUCCGGGUGGUAAAAGCUCCGGCGCUAUGAGAGGGGCCCGCGGCCGAUUAGCUAGUUGGUGGGGUAACGGCCUACCAAGGCGACGAUCGGUAGCUGGUCUGAGAGGAUGGUCAGCCACACGGGGACUGAGAUACGGCCCCGACUCCUACGGGAGGCAGCAGCUAAGAAUCUUGCGCAAUGGGCGAAAGCCUGACGCAGCAAUUCCGCGUGGGGGACGAAGGCCCUCGGGUCGUAAACCCCCUUUUGUGAGGGAAGAAGUUCUGACGGUACCUCACGAAUAAGACACGGCUAACUACGUG
rnacentral:rRNA from 1 species